rnacentral:snoRNA from 1 species
CCAACGAUGGUAUCUGAGUGACUUAACACAUCACUUAGCUCUGCCAGUGUGGCGUACGGGAGCUGAACCCUCAUCCAGGGUUCUGAUGUAUAUUCCCUUUCCACGACGUUGGAGAGCAACCCCUGUCCCCAAUGUUCCGGCAUUGAUGUGGAUAGGCUCCUCGCAUAUUCCUGCGUCUUCUCUGAGCCACUCUGUGGCGGUGACUGAGGGGGUAAACCAUGCGAGGAACAUUC